ensembl:lncRNA
GUUUUCAAGCCCUGCCACAUCCGACGAGCGUCGGAGCUGGUGUAGUAUGAUUCAAUCUUAGCCCUGUAUUGAUGGUUUGCCUGUUUGAUGGUUUGACGCAGGCCAUAGCGGGAUUUCUUGUAAGCUUCCGGGUUAGAGUCCCGCACCUUGAAAGCGGCAGCUCUACCCUUUAGCUCAGUGCGAAUGUUGCCGGUAAUCCAUGGCUUCUGGUUGGGGUAUGUACGUACAUACAGUCACCUUGGGGACGAGGUCCUCAAUGCACUUAUUGAUAAAGCCAGUGACUGAUGUGGUGUAUUCCUCAAUGCCAUCGGAAGAAUCCCGGAACAUGUUCCAGUCUGUGAUAGCAAAACAGUUCUGUAGUUUAGCAUCUGCUUCAUCUGACCACUGUCACUGGUGCUUCCUGCUUUAAUUUUUGCUUGUAAGCAGGAAUCAGGAGGAUAGAGUUGUGGUCGGAUUUACCAAAUGGAGGGCGAGGGAGAGCUUUGUACGCGUCUCUGUGUGUGGAGUACAGGUGAUCUAGAAUUUUUUUCCCUCUGGUUGCACAUUUAACAUGUUGAUUUGGUAGAACUGAUUAAAGUCUCCGGCCACUAGGUGCGCCGCCUCUAGGUGAGUGGUUUCCUGUUUGCUUAUUUCCUUAUACAGCUGACUGAGUGUGGUCUUAGUGCCCACAUCUGAUUGUGGUGGUAAAUAAACAGCCACAAACAGUAUAGCUGAGAACUUUCUAGACAAGUGGUGUGGCCUGCAAUUUAUCACUAUAUACUCUACUUCAGGCGAGCAAAAUCUAGAGACUUCCUUAGAUUUUGGGCACCAGCUGUUGUUUGCAAAUAUGCACAGACCGCCACGCCCUUAACAUAGGACAUUACAGUUUUUGGUGUCCCGUUGGUAGGAUAUUCGUGAUCGUACCUCGUCUAGUUUAUUGUCCAAUGAUUGCAUGUUGGCGAGUAAUAUUGACAGUAACGGCAGCUUUCCUACUCGCCUUCUGCGGGUCCUGACGAGGCAUCCGGUUCUUCGUCCUCUGUACCUGCGUCACUUCCUCUUGCGAAUAACUGGGAUGUCGGCCCUGCCGGAUGUUUGGAGAAUAUCAUGUGAGUCUUGCUUGUUGUUGAAAAAAUAUUUGUCUAAUCCGAGGUGAGUGAUCUCUGUCCUGAUAUCCAGAAGCUCUUUUCUGGCGUAAGAUACGGUUGCAGAAACAUUAUGUACAAAAUAAGUUACAAAUAACGCGAAAAACCCCCACAUAAUAGCACAAUUGGUUGGGCACCCGUAAAACUGCUGCCAUUUUAGAAUGGCGGCAGAAAUAGAGAUGAAGCAAGGUUUAUUUAAACAACAAUUACAAAACAUGAUAAUGGUCAACCCUGAAUUUAAAAGCACAUUGAAGCUGAGCAGUUCCAUUCUAGCCAAAUUUGACUUCAAAACAAGUUAAGCUAAUUUACUUGACCCUACAUCCAAGAACAAAACAAAGCACACAUCUUAACUACAAUUCUAAGAAUGGUAUGUAAUAACCUUUUAAAUAUUUAAUUAUAUCAGAAUGAUAAAUUAAUGGUUAUAAACUGAGGAACUGACUUCUGUGAAGUGACAGCUGGUUUGGCCCCAUUGUACUGUUGUUGCACAGCAGUCUUUCUGUUGCACUAUUUCCUAGUAGCUCUUCUGGUUAAUGUUGAGACUGGAGAAAGGUGUGGCUGCUGAUCUGGACCAUUGACCAAUCUCUGGUGAAUCCUAUAGACCUCUGAGCCAGGGCUUUUGUCAGUUGUACCUGUGUUGACUUUGGGCAGAGUUGUGUUUAGAGUUGCCAACUGCUCCUGUUUUGAGUUUGGGUGUGGCCGUCUUGCUUGAGAGUCAUGUGCUCCUUGAACACAAUCGUCUUGCGUUGCUCACAGGCUUUCUUAUAGUUAAAGUAGGGACCUAAGCCAUUGCUGACACUCUCCAUGACACCCUGUGCUAUGGCUCUGAAGUUACAAGACUGCUCUUCCUUCUCCUCACGCUUGGCCUCCUCCUUCUCUCUCAGGCUCUGUAUCUCCUCAUUCAUGGCUGCCUCUUUCUCUGUGAAGCCAUUAGCCAUCAGCUUUUCCUGCUCAUGGAGCUUGCUAGCUAGUGCUCGCUCCAACUCCUGUGGCUCCUCCUUCGCCUCCUGGAGUAUCUUAGCCUAGAUUCACAGAGGGAGAACAACACAGACAUCAUGGUUAUGGAUUUGCAGGCAAACUGAUAGAUUUUUGGUCUGAAAACUAUUCGAACACAAUUGUGGCCUGUUAUCAGAGAUUGAAGUAAGAGGAACGUCAGGCCACAAAGGCAAAAUGGGGUUUCCAGAUGUAAAUCAGUUAGACUACUACUACUACUUACAUAAACACAAACAGAUUCAAAGUGGAUUCAAAACAACAUGUAUUCAUAAACUGAUUUAAGACUAAUUAUAUAAUAUUCAAAUGAAUUAUCUGCCUCUAGGCAACAUUCUCAAAGAAUAUAAGACCAUAAAAAUAUAUGUAACACUUUCAUAUAAAGCGGAUACUGAUUCUAAGUGUGGCUAUCAACUUGACUUUCUGCUUUACAUUGAUAAAGCUAGCAAAUGUGUACAUGCUCAGGUAAUACACAAUGUUUCUACUUCAUAAAAGCUACCUUCAUGAGCGUAUAUUGAAAUAGUGUUGGCAGCAUCCAAUCCAAAUCGAAGAACAGGCAUGACUGUAGACUCAAGGCAACCACAUCCUUCCUUCUCAGGUUUGUUGCUAUUCUUGAACUCCUCUAUCUCCUGUCUCAUUAAGUCAGCCUUCUCCUUGUGGCCCUUCUCCAGUAGAUCCUUCUGCUCCUGCAUCUUGCACUCCAAGGCCCUGUGGAAGUCCUGUUCCUGUUGCUUCAAAUCCUCUUAUCUUCUCUUCCAUCUGCUUCAACUUCUCGUCUUUGCUUCUGCGAUCGUCCUCCAUGGUGCGCUCCAUCUCCAACCGUUUCUCUCCAGCAGCCUUCUUCUCCUGCUCCAGCACAGCUGAUCCCUCCUUCUCCUGUGAAUGGUACAAAUUAAGAUAUUAUGCUUGCAGGAUGGAAUACUUCUCUAGACUCUUUUCCUUCCGGAACUGUUCAAGAAUCUCCUCAGCCUGCAGAAAACAUCCCCAAAGGCUUCAUGUUUGCCAUCAAACAAUGAUAAAUCUAAAACCGGUUGGAUCUGUUUCCGGUAUGAUGCCUAAAAAAUACAUUAUGGAAGCCACUGUAAAUCAUAACAUAACAGUAACAUUAGAGGUUGAGAGAAAGAACAUGUCAUCUACGACAUGGAAACUGUUCUGAUUUCUUGACUUAAGAAAUCAUGAAAUAUACUUAUGUCACUGAGGGAGAGAGGGGAAUGUAUAAAGUUGACAUUCUG